rnacentral:rRNA from 1 species
AACGAACGCUGGCGGCAGGCUUAACACAUGCAAGUCGAACGGGUGUAGCAAUACAUCAGUGGCAGACGGGUGAGUAACACGUGGGAACCUUCCUAGGGGUACGGAACAACUCAGGGAAACUUGAGCUAAUACCGUAUACGUCCGUAAGGAGAAAGAUUCAUCGCCCCUAGACGGGCCCGCGUCGGAUUAGGUAGUUGGUGGGGUAACGGCCUACCAAGCCUACGAUCCGUAGCUGAUCUGAGAGGANGAUCAGCCACACUGGGACUGAGACACGGCCCAGACUCCUACGGGAGGCAGCAGUGGGGAAUAUUGGACAAUGGGCGCAAGCCUGAUCCAGCCAUGCCGCGUGAGUGAUGAAGGCCUUC